rnacentral:lncRNA from 1 species
CUGCUAAGACAGACAUUAUCGAAUAGCACCGGGAGUUUGAUGAGAUAUGAACAAGAAGCUUCCGAGGAAACUAAGUGUUUUCCGGUCCUCCUUUUUCUGAAUAUAGAGCCAUAAGCAACCAGCGAAUCCGGGUUUAUUGAAAACACCCCGAUAUCCGAAAAUAAGCCAGAAAUANNNNNNNNNNNNNNNNNNNNNNNNNNNNNNNNNNNNNNNNNNNNNNNNNNNNNNNNNNNNNNNNNNNNNNNNNNNNNNNNNNNNNNNNNNNNNNNNNNNNNNNNNNNNNNNNNNNNNNNNNNNNNNNNNNNNNNNNNNNNNNNNNNNNNNNNNNNNNNNNNNNNNNNNNNNNNNNNNNNNNNNNNNNNNNNNNNNNNNNNNNNNNNNNNNNNNNNNNNNNNNNNNNNNNNNNNNNNNNNNNNNNNNNNNNNNNNNNNNNNNNNNNNNNNNNNNNNNNNNNNNNNNNNNNNNNNNNNNNNNNNNNNNNNNNNNNNNNNNNNNNNNNNNNNNNNNNNNNNNNNNNNNNNNNNNNNNNNNNNNNNNNNNNNNNNNNNNNNNNNNNNNNNNNNNNNNNNNNNNNNNNNNNNNNNNNNNNNNNNNNNNNNNNNNNNNNNNNNNNNNNNNNNNNNNNNNNNNNNNNNNNNNNNNNNNNNNNNNNNNNNNNNNNNNNNNNNNNNNNNAACACGAUUCCAAAUAGAAAAACUUCAAUCAUUUUUUUUUUUGUUUGAAAGUAGAAAAAAAAAAUAGGUAAUAUCGGUACCUAAAUAUUAAUCCGAAUUGACAUGAAUCUCAAUCACAAUGAACAAGAAUUGACAAUGGUAACGUAAGUAAAUAUAGAAUACACGUAAUCCCACAGAAGGAUUUCUUUUUAUGAAUUGUUCAUUUAAAUAUUCAAUUUAAAUAAGUCGUAUCUUGCUCAGACCAAUAAAUAGAGCUGAGGUUAUAGUUAAAGCCGCUAAUAGAAAACCGAAAUAACUAGUUAUAGUAAGCAUGAAGGGGCUAAAUUAAAUGAAAUAUUUUCUUUUAUACAUAUGUUUAAAAAGCACUUACCUAAGUUUCAAAUUUUGCAAAAGAAAAUAGGAGGGUAGACAAAAAUCUCAAUUUCAAUUGAAAGAAUAAGUUGAAUGAAAAGUUUUUGAUUCAGCUAUUAUUAUAGGCAGACAGCACUAACAAAGAUAAAGUGCCAGACAUAUAAAGAAAUUGAUUCAUCAUCUGUAACAUCUAUCCAUCCCGCAAUUCCAAUCAACCGAUUCAUUGAGUAACUCUUGGGUAAACUAUUAAACUAAUAAGAGCUGUAUCGUCUAACUUCAUUAAAAAAUGAAACUUGCAUUUUUAUAGAAUCAAAAUAGAAAUAUAGAAAUGAUUUUCUAAUUUGAUCAUUUCUUAGAUUCUGGUGAAUUGUAUCGAAUCCAUUUUCGAUUUUAAAGCGAACAGUUACCUUAUAAAACUUUUUCUUUUGACUUUAAUUUAAGUUUAACUCAUUAGAUUCAGUAAUAUAUUAAUUUACAUAAUAUCUUGAAUGAGGGAGAAGAAAAAGUUAUCACACAACCACUUUAAAAACUCUUUUUUUUGUCCAACUAGAUUCUAAAACUAGUAAUUUCUAUUUCUUUAAAAAAAGAUUCCAACAACAAAACGGCUUCCACAACUCCGAAAAGAGAAUUUCUAUAUCUCGCAUCUACUUAAAUUGUGGGAAUAUGAGAAUCUUUUUCAUUGAAUUGAAAGAAUUUUCUAUUGAAUGGAAGAUGAUUUUACAUCAACAAGUAAAGGAAAAAAGAAAUUAUUUAGUACUUACUUUUGAUACUAAUUCAAAUUGCGUUGCUGUGUCAGAAGAAGGAUAGCUAUACUGAUUCGGUAUACUCUAAAGACGCCCUCGGUACAAUAUUGACGAUCUCACAAAGAUUAAAUUUCAGUUAAUUGUCAUUUACUGAUCUCAUCUUUUACGGAAUCGAUCUUCUUUGACUGUACAAGAAUAUGUGGAGCUCAGCAUGUCUGGAAGCACAGGAGAACGUUCGUUUGCUGAUAUUAUUACCAGUAUUCGAUACUGGGUCAUUCAUAGCAUUACUAUACCUUCCCUAUUCAUUGCGGGUUGGUUAUUUGUCAGCACAGGUUUAGCUUACGAUGUGUUUGGAAGCCCGCGGCCAAACGAGUAUUUUACAGAGAGCCGACAAGGAAUUCCAUUAAUAACUGGCCGUUUUGAUCCUUUGGAACAACUCGAUGAAUUUAGUAGAUCGUUUUAGGAGGCCCUAAUGACUAUAGAUCGAACCUAUCCAAUUUUUACAGUACGAUGGUUGGCUGUUCACGGCCUAGCUGUACCUACCGUCUUUUUUUUGGGAUCAAUAUCAGCAAUGCAGUUCAUCCAACGAUAAACUUAAUCCGAAUUAUAGAGCUACGACACAAUCAAACCCGAACGAACAAAAUGUUGAAUUGAAUCGUACCAGUCUCUACUGGGGGUUAUUACUCAUUUUUGUACUUGCUGUUUUAUUUUCCAAUUAUUUCUUCAAUUAAGAAAACGAAAGAGAAUAAAUAAGAUUCUCUUAGCUCAUUCGGAAGGAUCUCAUAAUUUAAUUAUCCAUGACUGUUUAUGUCUCUAGCAUGACCACUUGAUGAAAUCUGGAGGGAAGUGGGGUAAAUGGCCGAUACUACUGGAAGGAUUCCUCUUUGGAUAAUAGGUACUGUAGCUGGUAUUCUUGUAAUCGGUUUAAUAGGUAUUUUCUUUUAUGGUUCAUAUUCCGGAUUGGGUUCAUCCCUGUAGUAAUCGACUGAAUUGAGUUGUCAACAUGAAAGCGUAAGAACUUAACGGGAUUCCCUUCUUUGUUUGUUUGAUUCGAAGGGGAAGGGCCCGUUGAGUUCUUAAGAAUCAUAAUAUUUUUUUCGUCUAAAUGCUAAAACGGAUUUCUUUUUCUUUUCAAAAACUCCGUUUUUCUCAUUUUUCUGAGCAUGUUUUUGAAAAAUUCACUUCAUUGAGUUAGUCAGACCACCUCUUCUUUUUAUAUGAUAGUAUCUAUCGGUACUUUCAAAGUUGGAAGAAAGAAGGAAGAACUCAAUUUCUUGGCUGCUAUCAUAUAUUAGAUAGCGUGCAAAUCCUUUCUAUACUAAUCUAAUGUAGAACCUUACUCUCUAUAUUACAUUACUCUAUUGAUUUUUUAUUGUUUUCCUAUUUCAUCAUCAAAUUUUUAUAAGAUAAGUUGAUUGAAGAAGUUUUAUUUAAUUAAUAAAAUUUCCUCUCUUUUUUGUUUUGUUUGUCCACCAAUUCAUAUAUUAUAUGUAAGGGGGUAGGUGUAGGGUUUCUGAUACAUCUGGAAAAAUUGAAACCAAGACUAGGAAUUUUUAACAAACAGGAUCAAGAAUCAUUACUCUUUCGUUUCGACACAAGAAAAAAGGAUUUUUCUACACCCCUUUCUUGUGUCGAAGACUAGGAAGACAAAUAAUCCCUCCUAGAAUUUUUUCUUCCCCGCAUUUAUCCCCCGCUUCCUUAUGUCUAGUAUUUAGACAAAUUUGACUUUCUUUCUAUUUAGAAUAGAAAACUAUUGAUACGUUUUAUGGCAGUGAAAUCUGGCAAUAGUAACAUAGUUACACUACUCCAAUUAAAAAAAAACUAAAUCAAAAUAAAUGAAAGCCAAAUACUCUUCUUCAAAAUCUACAUACUAUGUGGUACAAGGGAUUCCCAGCAUCUCGUAGAAAAAGAGUAUGUAAUGUAGAUUUUGAAGAAGAGUAUAAAUAAGACAAAGGAGUUUUCAUAAUUUCAUUUUUUUGAUCAUAAAUAAUCGCCAACAAGAAUUUGGUUCUUUUUACGUACUUGAUAUCGAUAAAUCUGCGAAUCUAGAAAUUCAUUUCGGCCAAUUGAACCUUCUCGAACUGUUUCUUUUUAAGAACCAAAAAGAUUUGUGCCAAAAUAACAGAUGCCAAGAAGAACAAAAGUCCUUGGACACGUAAUGGAUCUUGAAGUACUAUUUCUGCAUCUCCCUGACCAAAUCCGCCUACAUUAGGAUUACUCGUUAAUGGUUGAUCAAAUUUGAUAGAUUCGCCCUCGGAAACAAGAAGUUCUGGUCCGGGAGGGAUAAUAUCAACCACUUGACGUCCCUCCGACGCAUCCGUUAUGGUUAUCUCAUACCCCCCUUUUUCUUUUCGUAUGAUUUUGCUUACUAUACCUGCUGCUGUAGCAUUAUAAACUGUAUUGUUACUCUUGUUGCCGUCGGGAUAAAUCUGACCCCUUCCCCUGUUCCCGCCUACGUAUAUAGGAUAUUUUAAGAAGUGAACAUCCUUCUUAGUAGCAGGGUCCGGGGAAAGAAUAGGGAAGGUUAUUUCACUAUAUUUUUUACCAGGGACAGGGCCUACCACAAGAAUAUUUGUUUUAUUGGGGCGAUAGCUCUGAAAAGACAAAUUGCCAAUCUUUUCUUUCAUCUCAGGAGAAAUACGAUCGGGAGGAGCUAAUUCAAACCCCUCCGGUAAAAUAAGAACAGCUCCGACGUUCAACCCCCCUUUUUUACCAUUAGCAAGAACCUGUUUCAGUUGCAUAUCAUAAGGAAUUCGAACAACUGCUUCAAAUACAGUAUCAGGAAGUACCGCUUGUGGAACCUCAAUUUCCACGGGCUUAUUAGCUAAAUGGCAAUUGGCACAUACAAUACGCCCAGUCGCUUCUCGUGGAUUUUCAUAACCCUGCUGUGCAAAAAUGGGAUAUGCACUUGAAAUGGACGUCCGAGUUAAGAUAUAUAUCAUGAGCGAUACGGAAAUAGAUCGAGUAAUCUGUUUCUUUAGCCAAGAAAAAGCAUUUCUAGUUUGCAUGGUCCAAUCAUUGAUCGCGAAAAUUUCUACAAUAAAUUGGGUAGGUCGCUAGUAUAGUUCCCUAGCCACGAUUCUGCUAUUUGCUGGAAUAAUCUAGGAUGAAUCUUCCCGAUGGUUAGAAAUAGGAAGAGUAAAUAUGAUUUUCAAUACUUUGCUUAUGUACAACUACAAAGUACUAAGCAUUCUAAUUGGAUUAGAUUAAUAUCAAUGGAUCCUUUAUCAUUCAGUUAUUGAAUCAUAAAGCAGUAAAAUUGACGGAGACAGACUAGUUAAAUAACGGAAAAGCCAAUAUUUAAAACAUGUAUCAAAAAUUACUGGAAGGAUGCAAACAAGAAUAGUUAUAGUUUGCUCAUUCGCAACAACUCCAACCUCGUUAUAGAUAGAGCGUAUAACGAAUUCCCAACCUGGGGGUGAAUGAUAUCCGAGAAAAAACUCACUUACUAGAAGAAUACACAAAGCUUUUGCUGUGUCACUUAAGUUAUAUAGGAAUUCCUGAGCCCAAGAGUUAAGAAUAACAAGUUUUUCCUUACCCAAAAUUGAAUACCCGCUUAGAAUACCAAACCAGAUUAUAUUUGUUGAGAAGUGCAAAAUCGUAUCCAUACGAUUCUCAUUUUGUAUCGUGAUUAAUUGGAUCGUUUCUUUAUGGAUUCCUAUCCCAAACUCUUCGAGAUGUGUUUCCGAGUAUUCCUUGAUCAUUUCGUCCAAGAAGAGGAGUUCCUCUAAUUCUCUGAAUUUUUCUAGAAGACUCUUUUCUUGAAUAUUAUUCAAGACAAUUUGGGAUUGCCCAGUAUUCCACCAAUUAGUAACCCAAGAUUCCAGCCAUUUAUUAACUGAGAAAGAAAUCCACCAGGGCAAAAAUACUAUAGAUGCAAGAUAGAAAAGAGGAGUGAAUGCUUUCUUUUUUGCCAUUUUUUCGUCUGUAAAUUGUUAAUCAACCCAUUCGUACACUCUAUGCGAUCGAAUAUUUCUUACACACAUGAGUUUUAUACAAGGUAUCGAACUUAUGAAUCUAUUUUCUUUGUGAUUUUGUGGUUAGUCUUUGAAUCUAGAAAGAAUACAGAAAUAGGCUAAGAAUUCACUUCGAAUGAAGAAAUUGAGAAUAUUGUUUCCUGAUAUCUCAAUUGGUCAAAUUAAAAAUUAAGUGUAUCCUUUCGAUGAAUGACCGAAAGAACCACUUUAAGUAAUGAAUAUUAUUCAGAUUUUGAGACGAAAGAACUCCUUUGCUAUCAAAAUAUCCAAUAUUUCGAAAAAAUUUCAUUGAUUACCCAUAGUCAGGAAUAGAAUAAUUGAGGGAAAGAUAUUAGGAUGAUAAAAAAAAAAUGACUAGCAAAGGAUAAAUUGGCUAGUUCUCAGUAUUUAAUUAAGAAAUCCAAUUGUUGGUCAUUAAAGAAUACAAAAGAAAGAAUUUCAAAUUUACAAGAUACGAUCUAUCUGGAUCUAAAGUGUCAAUUCCAACAAAUAUUGAACUAAAAAAAAUUCUUGCUUUCGAAAUGGUUUGCCGUCUGAGAUGAAUCUAUUAUUUCGAUUUGUUAUUUGUUAUUGAAUUGCGUGCACAUAAAGACCAUAAAAAGAGUUUCGUUUUAUGGUUCUUUCAUAUACGUUUUCUUUAAUUGAAUGAACGUUCUGAUUCUCAAUUUAUCAAAAUACUUCAAUUGGUACACGCAAGAAAUAGGCUAAUUCAGCAGCCUUUUGUUCAAUUUCUCGUGGAGUCAAAUUCUCAUCAGUACGGGUCAAGGGAAUGGACCCCUGGCCUCGGAUGUCCAUAUAAAGAACACGACGAGCAUAAAUACCCUCUUUAACUUCUAUUCUAACGGACUGAAUAUCUUUUAUAAGGAAUCGGAGGAAUAUGCGACGAUUUUUUCCCGGAAAUCCCCAACGAAAGAUACAGACUAUUCCCUCCUUUCUAUCGAAUCGAUCAUAACCACUACCUACAUUCCAGGAAAUUGUGCACCACAAAUAAGAGCUAAUAAAGAGACCCGCAAUUCCGUAGAAAGACAUCACGAUUCCUUGUGGAAAAAAAAUGAUUUGCUGAGGCGGAAAAAAAGAUAGCAAAUUUCUACCAAGAUAACUGGAAGUUCCAACUAAUAAGAAGCCUAAUGAACCUAAAAAAAGGAUCAAGGCCCAGCAGAAAUUACUUAUUUUUCGAGACCCCGUUAUAAGUUCUAUCCAUAUAUCGUCUGAUCGCCAAGUCAUACUUUACUCGAUUGCAUUUUAUUGGAAUUGAGAUAAUACCCCAGAAAAAUUUGACUUUACUUUUUUGUUUCCGAAGUAACUCUCAUCAACUAGCACUAGUUUGAGGUGAACUAGCACUAGUUUGAUGUCAACCUUUAGGAGUAAUUCAUCAAAUUGGUUAAAUCUAAAAUAAUAACAUACUCUUUAUUUAAUACGAUCCCACUAUACAUAUCGAUAUACAUAUAGAUUCACCGACUACAUUUCAGCCAUCCAGAGAUCCUGAUCUAUUUGAAAAUUGCUAGAAUUGAUAUAUCCAUAUAUCAUGUUUCUGCGGGCAUAAGAGUUUUUUCCUUUAUGUUCGGUGGAAAUCACAUGUUAUACUAUACUCCAAUAAAUAGAUAUCCGUGUUAUGAUACAAGUCCACGUUUUCAAAAAAAAAAAUGGAUGAGAUUGGGUCCCAGCGGAUCUAAACAAUCUUGUUUUUUUGAACAUGAAGAAAUAAAGAAGCCAUUGCAAUUGCCGGAAAGACUAGGCCUACUAACGGCACAAAAAUAGAUGGAAGGUUCAAAUUUGUCAUAGAAGGGGUACCUCGAUUUACUAUUUGUAUCUGUUAUUAUGUUAUUAUAUAAAUAAAGAUAUCUUGUAAUAAUUAUAAUUAAAUUAAGAAUUUGAAUUCUAAUUAGAUAUUAGAUAAUAUUUAUUAUUAAUAGAAUUUGAAGAAUUUGAAAUUCUUAGUAUAGAUCGAAGUAUCGAUAUAUCUAAAUCUAACUGAGUACGUAUAAUAAGAAUAAGUGCAAAGAAUGUAGAACUGUAGAACUAAAUAAAUGGACUUAUUCAUCUCCUCCAUGAGAAAGAUAUGUAUGAUAAUAAACUUUAUUAUUUUUCUUCAUUUCUUUGUCUUUUGUUCUUGUCUUCUACUUUUCUAAAAAUAGAUAAAGAGUUUUUUACAGAUUAUCGACGGAUUCAUUCGAAUCCGACCCAACAUGGAUUUUUAGCUAAAAUGGUUUUUCGGUAGAUAGAGAAAGAUACAAAACUCUAUUAUCUCUAUUGAAAUUUCAAAUUAUAUACCUAAGACAAGACCAAAUUCGUUUUAUUUUACUAAUUUCACGAAAGGAAGAACUCACUCUUGGUGAUAAAGGUUUCUUGAUUCGUAAUCAGGAAUAUAGGUCAAAAAAAGAGUUAUCCUCAACUUUCGUUUUAAUUCUUUCUACAAUUCGAUCUUCUAUCACCAAAGAAAAGGCCAUUAUUAUCUUAUUUACUUUGAUUCCGAUAAACUAACUACUUUUUGCUACAAACACAAAAAAAAUAAUUGAACUUAGUGCUCUACUUGAUUUUGCUUGACUUUUGAUUCAAAGGAAAAAAGGCGUGGAGCUUAAAUAACUCACUCAGAACGCUUUUUAAAAGAUUACGUGGUACAAUUAGGUCGAAUAAACCCUUCUGGAAUAAGUAUUCAGCUGCUUGUGAACCUUCGGGUACUGUUUUAUUCAAUGUUUGUUCAAUUACUCUUUUACCUGCAAAUGCAAUGUAGGCAUUGGGUUCGGCAAUAAUGAUAUCCCCCAACAUACCAAAACUAGCUGUCACUCCACCAGUUGUCGGAGAUGUAAGGAUUGAUACAUAAAAUAAUUUUUUAUUUAAUUGAUAAUCAUAUAAAGCAGACGAUAUUUUAGCCAUUUGCAUCAAGCUCAAACUUCCUUCCUGCAUGCGCGCCCCCCCAGAAGCACACACUAUCAUAAGAGGUAAAUUUUGAUUGGCAGCGUGUUCAAUCAAACGGGUGAUUUUCUCUCCGACUACGGAUCCCAUACUACCCCCCAUAAACUGAAAAUCCAUAACCCCAAUUGCUACGGGAAUGCCGUUUAGUUGGCCUAUGCCUGUUUGAACAGCCUCGGUUAAUCCUGUCUUUCUUUGAUAAGAAUCAAUACGGUCCUUAUAAGGCUCCUCCUCCGAAUGAAAUUCAAUGGGAUCCAGCGAGACCAUGUCUUCAUCCAUAGGAUCCCAAGUACCCGGAUCGAUCAAAAGUUCAAUUCUAUCCGAACUACUCAUUUUCAAAUGAUAUCCACAUUGUUCACAAAUAUUCAUUUUUGAUUUCAAAAAUUUCUUAUAAUUUAAUCCAUAACAAUUUUCGCAUUGAACCCACAAAUGCUUGUAUUUUUGAGUUACCUCGAGAUCAUUAGAACUUUCUCUUAUAGUUAAAUCACUGUCCUUUGUGCGAGUUCGUCUACUGGAACCCUCGUUUUCACUACUAUUUAGACUUUGACCACUACAAAUGGCCCUAUAAAUGUAACUGUCACCGUUACUCUCACUACCACUUAUAAUGGAAGUAUCUAUACAGAUUUGAGACUGAAGAUAAUUAUCAAUGCAACUAUUAAUGUGAUUAUUCCAACUAUAUUGAGUAUCAUACAUGUAAGAAUUAUAGUAGGGAUCUUCGCCCCUAAAUCCAUUAUUCAGAUAACUCGAGUUUCGAUAACUAUAAAAAGAACUUUCUAGUUCACUCAGAAAAGAAUGAUCGUUGUCAACCUCAAAAAUAUGAUUUUCAAUAUCAAAAUAGAUGGAAUAACUGUCCCCAUUCCUAUCACUAACUAAAAAAGUGUCAUUAGAGAUGAAAUUCCAAAUGUCUUUAACGCCGAAUAAAUAAUCAACAUUACUGCAACUAUGAAUGUUUUUCACUUUUAGAUUUGGAUCUUCACUGGUAUUUUCAAUAGGACCAAGACUGCCCAUUGAUUUAUUUAGCCCACACCUGCGUUCGAACUCCUUCUUAAACAACAUCGAAUUAAACCACCAUCUUUCCAUAGAGUUUUCUUGCCCCCUAUUUGCAUGAAAAUACAAUAGAUGAAUAGUCAUUCGCUAUAAAAUUCUUUAUUUGAAUAUCUUAUUUCCUAUCAGACUAAGCAUAGAAAUCCAAUCACUAGGAUUAUUAACUAAUACGGAUUGUGAGUAUUCAAAAAAAGUUCUGAAUCUGGGGGAACACUUCACUAUAUAUUAAUAUGUUGGAACCCCCUUUUAUUAUUAAAAAGAAUAUAAAAAUAAUAGAAUUUUUGAUAAAGGGCGGCUUCUCCUAUGUCGUGUCAAAUUCGCAUCGAAAAAAAGAGAUUUGUCCUCUCUUAUAAAUAUAAAGAAAUAAAAAAAAUUCGUAAAAUCUCGUCUAAUACUAAUAUCUAAUCACUAACUAAUCUAACAAUCUAAAAUCUAAUAAUAAGUAAUAAAUUAAGGUUCUAUUUCAACACGGAACAAAGGGGACAAUAUACAGGAUGGGUAGAAAGAGUUGGAAUACUUGGCUUGAUUCAGGGAAACUACAAACUACAGGAUAGAAAAGAAUAUACCAAUCCUAAGGAUCCGUAGGAUUAAUUGUGGAUCCAAGACAAUAAUAGAAAGAUUUGAGUCUUAGAUUUUGAUUUAGUUUUCUAGAUUUUGUAUUUCAAAUCUUGAUCAAAAUAUAUGCAAUAGAAUCUUAGUUGUAUUCGGCCCAAUCUUUUACUAAAAGGAUUGAGCCGAAUUAAAUUGUAAUGUAAUUCAAUUAAGAGAACGAAGGAUAAUUACUUGAGUUCUUUCUCCUUAUCCUUCUUUAUUUCCUGCUAAUUUAUCUGCUAAUGUCUACUGUUUUUACUUAUCCAAAACGUCCACUGCUGCAAAAUUAAAUACGAUCUCUUUCCAUACCUCACAAGCAGCAGCUAGUUCCGGGCUCCAUUUGCAAGCCUCGCGAAUAAUCUCAUUACCUUCCCGAGCAAGAUCACGUCCUUCAUUACGAGCUUUUACACAUGCUUCUAGAGCUACUCGAUUAGCUACGGCACCUGGCGCAUUACCCCAAGGAUGUCCUAAAGUUCCUCCACCGAACUGUAGUACGGAAUCAUCCCCAAAGAUCUCGGUCAGAGCAGGCAUAUGCCAAACGUGAAUACCUCCUGAAGCCACAGGUAGAACACCUGGUAAAGAGACCCAAUCUUGAGUGAAAUAAAUACCGCGACUUCUAUCUUGUUCAACAAAAUCAUCACGCAGUAAAUCAACAAAGCCCAAAGUUAUGUCUCUUUCACCUUCAAGUUUACCUACUACGGUACCAGAGUGAAUAUGAUCUCCACCAGACAUACGUAACGCUUUUGCUAAUACCCGGAAGUGGAUACCAUGAUUCUUCUGUCUAUCAAUAACCGCAUGCAUUGCACGGUGGAUGUGAAGAAGUAGACCAUUAUCUCGGCAAUAAUGAGCCAAGGUAGUAUUUGCGGUAAAUCCCCCCGUUAAGUAGUCAUGCAUUACGAUCGGAACGCCCAAUUCUCUAGCAAAUACAGCUCUUUUGAUCAUUUCUUCGCAUGUACCUGCAGUAGCAUUCAAGUAAUGCCCUUUGAUUUCACCUGUUUCAGUCUGUGCUUUAAAAAGUGCUUCGGCACAAAAUAAGAAACGAUCUCUCCAACGCAUAAAUGGUUGUGAGUUCACGUUCUCAUCAUCUUUGGUAAAAUCAAGUCCACCGCGAAGACAUUCAUAAACAGCUCUACCGUAGUUUUUUGCAGAUAACCCCAAUUUAGGUUUAAUAGUACAUCCCAACAGGGGACGACCAUACUUGUUCAAUUUAUCUCUUUCAACUUGGAUCCCAUGAGGCGGACCUUGGAAAGUUUUAACAUAAGCAGGAGGGAUUCGCAGAUCUUCCAGACGUAGAGCGCGCAGGGCUUUGAACCCAAAUACGUUACCUACAAUGGAAGUAAACAUAUUGGUAACGGAACCUUCUUCAAAAAGGUCUAAAGGGUAAGCUACAUAAGCAAUAUAUUGAUCUUUUUCUCCAACAACGCGCUCGAUGCGGUAGCAUCGCCCUUUGUAACGAUCAAGACUGGUAAGUCCAUCGGUCCAUACAGUUGUCCAUGUACCAGUAGAAGAUUCGGCAGCUACCGCGGCCCCUGCUUCUUCAGGUGGAACUCCAGGUUGAGGAGUUACUCGGAAUGCUGCUAAUAUAUCAGUAUCCUUGGUUUGGUACUCAGGAGUAUAAUAAGUCAAUUUGUACUCUUUAACACCAGCUUUGAAUCCAACACUUGCUUUAGUCUCUGUUUGUGGUGACAUAAAUCCCUCCCUAGAACUCAUGAAUUAAAAAUUAUCACAACAACAAGGUCUACUCGACAUGAAUUCCGCGUUAAUGAAACUUUUCACAGGAAUCUGUCACAAAAUUUCCAACUAAUACUAAUAUUAUCAAUUAAUCAGAAUGGUUGAUUAUUAGACCAUGGUAUUUGAUUUGCCAAAUACAUCAUUAUUGUAUACUCUUUCAUAUAUAUAGCGCAACCCAAUUUUGAUUUUUUAUCUUUUUUUUUUUGAAAUGGAAAUACCUAGCUAACCUAAAUAAUAAGAACUUCCCCCUUGACAGUGGUAUAUGUUGUAUAUGUAAAUCCUAGAUGUGAAAAUAUAUGGAAUUCCUCUAUGAAUCUAUGAAAGGUAUAAAAAAGAAAGAAAAACGCAAAGAAAAGAAUAGGCUAGGCAUAAAUCGAUAUGCUGAAAUUGAAAUAAAAAAGAAAUAAGAAGAGGAGCCCAUUAGAUACAAAUAAUGAAUCGUAAUAGAAAUAGAAAAUAAAGUUCAGGUUCGAAUUCCA